UGACUGUCACUUUGUGGCAUGCAGUCGAGCGAGACCUUCGGGUCUAGCGGCGGACGGGUGAGUAACGCGUGGGAAUGUGCCCUUCUCUACGGAAUAGUCCCGGGAAACUGGGUUUAAUACCGUAUACGCCCUUCGGGGGAAAGAUUUAUCGGAGAAGGAUCAGCCCGCGUCUGAUUAGGUAGUUGGUGGGGUAAUGGCCUACCAAGCCUACGAUCAGUAGCUGGUUUUAGAGGAUGAUCAGCCACACUGGGACUGAGACACGGCCCAGACUCCUACGGGAGGCAGCAGUGGGGAAUCUUAGACAAUGGGCGCAAGCCUGAUCUAGCCAUGCCGCGUGAGUGAUGAAGGCCUUAGGGUCGUAAAACUCUUUCGCCAGGGAUGAUAAUGACAGUACCUGGUAAAGAAGCCCCGGCUAACUCCGUGCCAGCAGCCGCGGUAAUACGGAGGGGGCUAGCGUUGUUCGGAAUUACUGGGCGUAAAGCGCGCGUAGGCGGACUAUUAAGUCAGGGGUGAAAUCCCGGGGCUCAACCCCGGAACUGCCCUUGAUACUGGUAGUCUUGAGUUCGAGAGAGGUGAGUGGAAUUCCGAGUGUAGACGGUGAAAUUUCGUAGAUAUUCGGAGGAACACCAGUGGGCGAAGGCGGCUCACUGGCUCGAUACUGACGCUGAGGUGCGAAAGUGUGGGGAGCCAACAGGAUUAGAUACCCUGGUAGUCCACACCGUAAACGAUGAUGCAUUCGUCGCAGCAUGCUUGUCAGUGACCCACCUUACGGAUUAGCAUGCAGUCUGGGGAGUACGUCG
rnacentral:rRNA from 1 species